GACGAACGCUGGCGGCGUGCCUAAUACAUGCAAGUAGAACGCUGAAGGAGGAGCUUGCUUCUCUGGAUGAGUUGCGAACGGGUGAGUAACGCGUAGGUAACCUGCCUGGUAGCGGGGGAUAACUAUUGGAAACGAUAGCUAAUACCGCAUAAGAGUAGAUGUCGCAUGACAUUUGCUUAAAAGGUGCAAUUGCAUCACUACCAGAUGGACCUGCGUUGUUUUAGCUAGUUGGUGAGGUAACGGCUCACCAAGGCAACGAUACAUAGCCGACCUGAGAGGGUGAUCGGCCACACUGGGACUGAGACACGGCCCAGACUCCUACGGGAGGCAGCAGUAGGGAAUCUUCGGCAAUGGACGGAAGGCUUACCGAGCAACGCCGCGUGAGUGAAGAAGGGUUUCGGAUCGUAAAGCUCUGUUGUAAGAGAAGAACGAGUGUGAGAGUGGAAAGUUCACACUGUGACGGUAGCUUACCAGAAAGGGACGGCUAACUACGUG
rnacentral:rRNA from 1 species